rnacentral:rRNA from 1 species
GGGGGGGGGGGGGGGGGGGGGGGGGGGGGGGGGGGGGGGGGGGCGGGCGGGGAGCUUGCUCCUCGGACGUUAGCGGCGGGCGGGUGAGUGACACGGGGAUAACCUACCUAUAAGACUGGGAUAACUUCGGGAAACCGGAGCUAAUACCGGAUAAUAUAUUGAACCGCAUGGUUCAAUAGUGAACGACGGUUUUGCUGUCACUUAUAGAUGGAUCCGCGCCGCAUUAGCUAGUUGGUAAGGUAACGGCUUACCAAGGCGACGAUGCGUAGCCGACCUGAGAGGGUGAUCGGCCACACGGGAACUGAGACACGGUCCAGACUCCUACGGGAGGCAGCAGUAGGGAAUCUUCCGCAAUGGGCGAAAGCCUGACGGAGCAACGCCGCGUGAGUGAUGAAGGUCUUCGGAUCGUAAAACUCUGUUAUUAGGGAAGAACAAAUGUGUAAGUAACUAUGCACGUCUUGACGGUACCUAAUCAGAAAGCCACGGCUAACUACGUG